UUUAUAAAUGGUUAGAGUCGAGUAUAUGGUUGUCCCUUUGGGGACAUCCGAUAAAAUUGGAACGAUACAGAGAAGAUUAGCAUGGCCCCUGCGCAAGGAUGACACGCACAAAUCGAGAAAUGGUCCAAAUUUUUUUUUACCUCUAAUUUCUGAUGAUCAAACCCUAGAUAGAUCUCUGUUAAUUUUACAGCUCGAUUUUGAAACCUUAGAGUUCCCAAUUUUUGCUGUUUCAGUUCUAAUGUUCGUUGUUAAACGGUUUUGUUCCCAUCUCUGUUCUAGUUAAAGCUUAAAACUCUUAUACACAAUUGAUUGUUUUUGAAGGACUUCUCCACUUCAAGUUUUUUAUUAACGAAUAAUGAGUCUUCGUCCUCAAUUCACCAUUUGAUUCAGUUUACGAGUAAACACGUGUUGUUGCGGUUGGUGAAAUGGUUUUUUAUUCUCUUAUUAGCUUUUAUCUUCUAUUCUACUUAGCUAUUGGGAGUUUCAAGCAUGAAAUUUUGGUUGAAUUUUCCCCAAUGCUUCUCUAUUGUGUCCAUUUCCUUUUCAGGUUCUGAAGGCUAUGAGUUUCUGCAAUUCUGGGUUUUAGCCUUGUAGGGAAUGAGGUAAAUGAAUAGAAAGCUGGUUUGGAUCAAAGACACAAGAGGGAGGUUGAAGAGACAUGUUUAGUGUUUAGGUUUACUGAGACAAUUGAUGUUCACCGUUUCUAGAAAGUUUUGGCAAUUUUACUGGAUGUUUCUUAUGUGGUGUGGAUCAAUUGCGUUAGCUAAAUGUAAGAGCUUUAAAGCUCAGAAGAUAUCAAAUGGUUACGUUGUAGAAUCACAUUCCAUAAGGUCUUUGAAUCAUCCAAGGAAGUUUUCCAAUGUUCUAGUUGAAAUUGAUGACCUGAGCGUACUUGUCUCAGACUCAGACUGUGGUUUACUGUUGGGUCCAUUUCCUUUUUGGUUUUUGAAGACUCUUAACGUUUCUGAAACUUUGGUAAUCUUGUAAACCCUUGUGAAAUGGUUUUGGUUGAUCUCUUAACAGUGUUUAAAGAUGAAGACUUUAUUUCUGCACCUGAGUGAAUUUAACCCCUUCAUUGUUUUGAAAUUUUGGUUUUAGGAAAUGAGGAAAGUUUACAGGAAGCUGGUGUAAAUUAGAGACCCUUUAGCGAGGGUGAAGAUACACGUUUAUGGUGUAAAUUGACAUGAGAGCCAUUAACUUCUUGCAUUUGAAUUGACAGAAUCAGAGUGUUCUUGUCUUAGGACAACUACUAGCUAGCCUCUUAUGGAUAUGGAGCAGACUCAGGAAUCUACUGAAUUGCUAAGAAGCAGUGAUGGGGAAGUUCAGUUUUCAGUCACAACAACAACAAAGAGAAACUAAAAGCAAAGACAUAAAAAGAGUCACAACCUUAGGAUAUGAGCUUUUAAGUUGAUUCUGAGCAAAAGGAAAGAAAGGCUUUUUGUGUUUCCCGGUUGCUUGUGAGUUGGAGAAGAAGAUUAAAGUGCUUGCUUUCACUUGCUGGGGAGAUUUUUAGUUUUCAGCUUUGUAAUCUUUGUUCUUUGAAAUGUUCCUUCUAUUGUAGACAUGGUGUGUUUACAAGAUUCUUUGAAUUUGUUUGUACUUUAAAAAAUGUAAAACUUAGCUCUCUGUGUUUGUAAUGCUUUGAAGCUUUGAAGCUUUGUAAUU